rnacentral:snRNA from 1 species
AUACCUUUCUCGGCCUUUUGGCUAAGAUCGAGUGUAGUAUCUGUUCUUAUCAGUUUAAUAUAUAGAAAUGAUGUAAAUCAGCCUGAUAGUGGCAACAAUUCUCUCACACCUAAGAAGUAAUACAACACUU